UGAGCAAUCUGCCCUUCUCAUCGGAAUAAGCGUUGGAAACGACGUCUAAUGCCGAAUACGACCUCCUUUCGCAUGAUCGGAGGUGGAAAGCUCCGGCGGAGAAGGAUGAGCUCGCGGCCUAUCAGCUAGUUGGUGUGGGUAAUGGCCCACAAGGCGACGACGGGUAGCCGGCCUGAGAGGAUGGCCAGCCACAGUUGGGACUGAGAACGCCAGACUCCUAGGAG
rnacentral:rRNA from 1 species